CCUACGGGGGGCAGCAGUGGGGAAUAUUGGACAAUGGGGGGAACCCUGAUCCAGCCAUGCCGCGUGUGUGAAGAAGGCCCUCGGGUUGUAAAGCACUUUCAGUGAGGAAGAACGCCUGGUGGUUAAUACCCAUCAGGAAAGACAUCACUCACAGAAGAAGCACCGGCUAACUCCGUGCCAGCAGCCGCGGUAAUACGGCGGGUGCGCGCGUUAAUCGGAAUUACUGGGCGUAAAGCGCGCGUAGGUGGCUUGAUAAGCCGGUUGUGAAAGCCCCGGGCUCAACCUGGGAACGGCAUCCGGAACUGUCAAGCUAGAGUGCAGGAGAGGAAGGUAGAAUUCCCGGUGUAGCGGUGAAAUGCGUAGAGAUCGGGAGGAAUACCAGUGGCGAAGGCGGCCUUCUGGACUGACACUGACACUGAGGUGCGAAAGCGUGGGUAGCAAACAGGAUUAGAUACCCGUGUAGUC
rnacentral:rRNA from 1 species